UCUCUUUGGCAGCGCAUUUACUAAAUUUUGAAUGAUACAGAGAAGAUUAUCAUUGCUCUUGCUAAGUGAUGACAGAAAUAUUGGUGGAACAUUCUAUAUUUUG